UCCAAUAGCGUAUAUUAAAGUUGUUGCAGUUAAAAAGCUCGUAGUUGGAUUUCUGGGAGAGUGGCGAUGUCCGCUUAACGUGUGUGCAGCGGCGCUCUUUCAUCCUUCUGUUAGCGUCUCUUGGCAUUCAUUUGCUGGUGGCGGGCUCAGAUAUUUUACCUUGAGAAAAUUAGAGUGUUUCAGGCAGGCUAGGCCGGAAUACAUUAGCAUGGAAUAAUGGAAUAGGACUACGGUCUCUUUGUUGGUUUGAGGGACUGCAGUAAUGAUUAAUAGGGAUAGUUGGGGGCAUUAGUAUUUAAUUGUCAGAGGUGGAAUUCUCAGAUUUGUUAAAGACUAACCUAUGCGAAAGCAUUUGCCAAGGAUGUUUUCAUUGAUCAAGAACGAAAGU
rnacentral:rRNA from 1 species